rnacentral:tRNA from 1 species
CUCCGCUUGGUGUAGUUGGUUUAUCACGUUCGACUGUAAUAGCAAACAUUGUUAUCGAAAGGUCCCUAGUUCGAUUCUGGGAGCGGAGA